rnacentral:rRNA from 1 species
CCCAGACUCCUACGGGAGGCAGCAGUGGGGGAUAUUGCACAAUGGGGGGAACCCUGAUGCAGCGACGCCGCGUGGGUGAAGGAGCGUUUCGGCGCGUAAAGCCCUAUCGGCAGGGAAGAAGGAGGACGGUACCUGACUAAGAAGCCCCGGCUAACUACGUGCCAGCAGCCGCGGUAAUACGUAGGGGGCAAGCGUUAUCCGGAUUUACUGGGUGUAAAGGGGGCGCAGACGGCAGCGCAAGCCAGGAGUGAAAGCCCGGGGCCCAACCCCGGGACUGCUCUUGGAACUGCGCGGCUGGAGUGCAGGAGGGGCAGGCGGAAUUCCUGGUGUAGCGGUGAAAUGCGUAGAUAUCAGGAGGAACACCGGUGGCGAAGGCGGCCUGCUGGACUGCGACUGACGUUGAGGCCCGAAAGCGUGGGGAGCAAACAGGAUUAGAUACCCCGGUAUA